rnacentral:rRNA from 1 species
UGCCAGCCGCCGCGGUAAUACGGAGGGUGCAAGCGUUAUCCGGAAUCACUGGGUUUAAAGGGUGCGUAGGCGGCGUUGUAAGUCAGAGGUGAAAUCCCACAGCUCAACUGUGGAAUUGCCUUUGAUACUGUAAUGCUUGAAUCAGGUUGAGGUCGGCGGAAUGUGGCAUGUAGCGGUGAAAUGCUUAGAUAUGCCAUAGAACACCAAUUGCGAAGGCAGCUGGCUAGACCUGUAUUGACGCUGAGGCACGAAAGCGUGGGGAGCGAACAGGAUUAGAUA